rnacentral:rRNA from 1 species
GAUGAACGCUGGCGGCGUGCUUAACACAUGCAAGUCGAACGGGAAACCUUUUAUUGAAGCCUCGGCAGAUUUAGAUUGUUUCUAGUGGCGGACGGGUGAGUAACGCGUGGGUAACCUGCCUUAUACAGGGGGAUAACAGUCAGAAAUGACUGCUAAUACCGCAUAAGCGCACGGAGCUGCAUGGCUCGGUGUGAAAAACUCCGGUGGUAUAAGAUGGACCCGCGUUGGAUUAGCUAGUUGGUGGGGUAACGGCCCACCAAGGCGACGAUCCAUAGCCGGCCUGAGAGGGUGAACGGCCACAUUGGGACUGAGACACGGCCCAGACUCCUACGGGAGGCAGCAGUGGGGAAUAUUGCACAAUGGGGGAAACCCUGAUGCAGCGACGCCGCGUGAAGGAAGAAGUAUCUCGGUAUGUAAACUUCUAUCAGCAGGGAAGAAAAUGACGGUACCUGACUAAGAAGCCCCGGCUAACUACGUGCCAGCAGCCGCGGUAAUACGUAGGGGGCAAGCGUUAUCCGGAUUUACUGGGUGUAAAGGGAGCGUAGACGGAUGGACAAGUCUGAUGUGAAAGGCUGGGGCUCAACCCCGGGACUGCAUUGGAAACUGCCCGUCUUGAGUGCCGGAGAGGUAAGCGGAAUUCCUAGUGUAGCGGUGAAAUGCGUAGAUAUUAGGAGGAACACCAGUGGCGAAGGCGGCUUACUGGACGGUAACUGACGUUGAGGCUCGAAAGCGUGGGGAGCAAACAGGAUUAGAUACCCUGGUAGUCCACGCGGUAAACGACGAAAGCGGGUGUCGGGUGACAAAGUCAUUCGGUGCCGCCGCAAACGCAUUAAGCAUUCCCACCUGGGGAGUACGUUCGCAAGAAAGAAACUCAAAGGAAAUGACGGGGGGCCGCACAAGCGGUGGAGCAUGUGGUUUAAUUUGAAGCAACGCGAAGAACCUUACCAAGUCUUGACAUCCCUCUGACCGACUCUUAACCGAGUCUUUCCUUCGGGACAGAGGAGACAGGUGGUGCAUGGUUGUCGUCAGCUCGUGUCGUGAGAUGUUGGGUUAAGUCCCGCAACGAGCGCAACCCCUAUCCUCAGUAGCCAGCAUUUAAGAUGGGCACUCUGGGGAGACUGCCAGGGAUAACCUGGAGGAAGGCGGGGAGGACGUCAAAUCAUCAUGCCCCCUAUGAUUUGGGCUACACACGUGCUACAAUGGCGUAAACAAAGGGAAGCGAACCUGCGAGGGGGGGCAAAUCCCAAAAAUAACGUCCCAGUUCGGACUGUAGUCUGCAACCCGACUACACGAAGCUGGAAUCGCUAGUAAUCGCGGAUCUGAAUGCCGCGGUGAAUAAAAUCCCGGGUCUUGCACA